rnacentral:lncRNA from 1 species
UUGAUUAGGGUCUCUAUGGAUAGCCCAUGCAUUAACCAAUACAAUUGUGUCACGUGGUAUUUUGUACCCGCUGAUUGUACAAUCAUGGGAGGUUAGAUGUGGCACUAGCAUUGGAGCAGUUGGGUUCAAUCGAAGAGUCUCAGAGAUGAUUCCUUGAAGAUAUGGUAACUUGGGGAUAUCCGAUUCUUCUACAAGUCGUUUUUCUCCAAUUUGAGCGUCUAUCUCUUCUCUAGCCUUUUUUAGUACAUCUGGAUUGUUGAGCAAAUGAGCUAGAAUCCAUUCAAUUGUCACAGCUGAAGUGUCUACUCCUGCUAGUAGUAACUAAUAAAAAAAAAAAAAACCCGAGUAUGAAUGGAUAUGAAUAAUUAGAUUUAAAUGGACAAAAGAUUAGUGUAUAUAUCUAAUUAUUUUAUUUCAUUUAAUUUUUCAAUAAUUUAACUUAUGAUAGGAGGAAAAAAAAAGUUAAAAAAUAAUUGUAAGUUUGUGUCCAAUAUCUUAUAUACAAGUUAUUUAAAUAAUUUGAUUAUUUACUUUUACAAUAAAAUGAAUGGAAAACAAAAACUAAACUAUUUAUAAAAUAGAGGAGAAUCAAUAGGCUAAUUCUAAUGUCUUAAUAAAUAAGUUAGUAUCCACUACAAAAAUAUUUUGUUUUUUUUUUUAAUUCCUUGAGAAACUCCCAAUUUUAAAUAUCUUGAAUAUAUUUGUUUACUAAAAUUUUAUUUUGAAAAGAUUAUUUAGUAAGUCUAUAUCAGAUCUUUUGUACAUAAUAUUAAACUUUCAGUACUGAGUUUAGUAAUAAUCUUUAGAAAAAGAAUUUUGAUAGCUUAACCAAAAAUACUCAUGAAAGAUUCAUUCUUUUCCGUUCUUUUAUUUUCGUUUGUACUUUCUUUGACCCUUCUUUCCAUAUUUUUUUCUGUAAUUUUAUUUUUAUUUUUAUCUUUUUUUUCUCUUCUUUUGCAAAUAUAUUUUAAACUAAAUUUCUUUCUAUUUAGAAAAAAAUGAAUUAAAAUUUACGGUUUUUUAUUAAAAAAUAUUUUAAUGUUUUUUUUCUCCACCUACAUAUUUUUUCCAACUUAAGCUUUGAAUUUUGGUAAUUUUGAUUAGUUAUAUUAAAGUAUGCUUUUACUAACUUUUGUUCCAUUCUUUUUAAUCUUUAGUCGUAUAAUAUGUUUUUCUAAUUAUAAAUUAGUUAAGUCUUAACUAAUUUUUAAUUUGAAUUAACUGAGUAUAACUACAAUGUUAUAUUAAGCAUCAUUAUGAUCCGAAUAAAAUUUCAAAUGUUUUUUUAUUAUAAUUGAAUAAAUGUUGUAAAUUAUAAUAAAAUUUUCAACAAUUAAUUUCUUAUAAUUUUUUUCGACUCUAUUUUAUGAGAAUUUUUAAAAAUAGGUAAUUUUAUAAAAUAUUUACCAAAUUGUCUAUGACAAAUUCAAUUAUUGAUAUGUCAUCACACAUAAAAUUCAAUCAAAAUUCAAAAUUCAAAUUUUGUUAUAGAAACUAAACAUUUUAAUUUAUUUUGCUAUUUUAAAAAAUGUUCAUUUAUUUUACUUAUAAUUUAUAAUUUUGUUUACUAUUGUUUUAUUUAUUUAUAUAUAUUGUUGACAGUUGCUCUUUUAAUUGUUUUAUUUAGAAUAUUUUUCAACUAUUGUUGGUUUAUUAUUGUUCUAUCUAUAACCUUUUUUUUACUAACGUCAAGUGAUAACCGUCACCAACCUCUAAUCACAAUCUACGACAAAAAGUAGUAAUAAUGAUAAAUACUUUUUAAUAAAAGAAAAAAUAACAUUGAAAAUAACUUAAAAUAUUUUUAAAAAAUAAAUAACCAUUAAUAUUUGUAUUUAGUUUUUCUAAAUAGAAAGAAAUUUAGUUUAAAAAUACAAAUAAAAAAGCAUCGAAGAAAAGAGAGAAAAAGAGAGGAGAAAUAAAGAAUAAAAAAGGGAUAGAGAGUCUAAGCUGUUAAAAAUAGUAAAAUAAACGGAAAUAUUUAAUAAAUAUAGUAAAUUUAUAAAAAUUUUGCCAUAGACUGUUAAAAAUAUUUAUAAAAUACAAUAAAAUUUCAAAUUAUAUAAAUGAUUUUACAAUAUUUUUGUUCUGUUCACAAUUUUAUAUUUGAAAAGGUUUAUUUAUCAAUGUUUUCCCCCAAAAGUUUUGUAUUAGAUUUUAUGGCAAAUAUAUGCUAUGACUACAGGAGAGACGUAGCCGCAAGGUCACUACUUCCAAUCCAAAAGAGAAGGAAAAAACUCCAAAUUCACGAGCAGGAUUAACUAAAACCGAAUGGGAAUGGAGAUUGAAAAUUGUUUACUUAAAGGAAGGUUAUUGAAAGUGAGUGAGAAAUUAUGGAGAUUAAUUACCAGAACAAUUCCUUUGAUUAUUUCAUCUCCAUAGUACUCAGGCUCCAUUUCCUGCAGAGAUAGCAAAUGACCGAUCACCGUGUUCCUUUCUUCUUCCUUAUUGCUCCGAUGUUCAUCAAUCAAUCCCUGCAGAAACGCGUCCAUCCUCUUCGCAACUCUCCAAACCUUCCUCUUAAAUCCAUUCGGGAUCCAAUUCAUCAUCGGAAUGAAAUCUCCCGGAUACGAUACUCCUCCCAUCGACACGAUCUGUUUAAUCAGCUCUCUCGACUGUCUCGCUUCCUCCACAUCCCUCACCUCCUCACCAAAAUACCUCUUUCCUGCCGCCAUUCUCAUCGAUAUGUUAAACGUCCGUUCCGAAAUCGCCGACUGCAUCUCUACUUUCGAGAAUCCAUACAUCGAAUUUCUCGAUAGCUUCUUCAGUAACCGUUCCACUUCAUCCUUCCGGCUUCCUGCGAAUUUAUUGAGGCGAGACGCUGAAAAGAUCUCGAUCGCGCCGAUUCUGCGGAGGUUCCGCCAGUGAUCUCCAUAAGGUGACGAUACCAUCGUAGUGUAGUUGUAGCUGAUGUGUUUCCCGACUAGCAAGCGAGGACGGUUGGCUAAAACAAUGUCGUUCUUAGUGAAACACUCCUCCACUGCCGGCAACGAGGAGACGACCACAACGAGGCGAGAUCCAAGCCAGAGAGAGAUUACUGGUCCGUAUUGCGCAGAGAGUUUGUGUAAAGUUUGGUGAUGGGGGAUUUUGAGGUAAUGGAGGUGGCCGAUGAUAGGGAGAGACGGGGGACUGGGGGGUAAGUUUGUACGGCGGGUGCGGAGGUUGAAAGCGAAGAGGAGAGAGAUAAGGGAGAGAAAUAGGUAAAGGAGAGAGUAAAUUUGCAUGGCGUUUUUGUUGAAAAAAGUAAUAUUUAAAUUUGGAGUUGGGGAGUGAAGAUGAAGAGGUGGCUACUAGGGGUGAGGUAUUUAUAGAGAUUGAAGCCACCAGAAUGACCUUGGCAGUGUGCUGUAAUAACAUACAUUAUGAAGUCCAUUUUAUGUACGAGUUUCAAUUGAAAUCCAAAAUUUCUAUGCAUGUAAAUCCAUCUUGAGUAGAGACAAAACUAUAUAUUAAUCUUUUUCCACGUUGACAAAGUAUCUGCUGAAGAUACUCAACCCCUUUUUGGCUUCUCUCUCUUCUUUCCUUUUAUCUAUUAUAAUCAUCAUAAUCGAAGGAAAAUGCAUGACUGACAUGUGUAGAGUUUAAUGAUCCUUCAAUUGCCAUAUGUAUCAACAGUUAUGAGAUUUUCAAUUUUAAUAAUACUCUCUAGUUCUUCCUAUUCUUAAAAGAGACUACGAUUGCUUUUGUGGUUGAAAAUUAGACUCAUCAUGUCUCACAUAUAUUCUACUAAAAAUGUGAUUAUUUUUAAAUAUUUAAAGAAUUUACAUAAUAAUCAUGACAUAUUGUAGUGCAUCAAUGCUUUUUUAUUGGUACAUAAUUUCAAAGUUUCAAAUUUCUUGUUUUUACUUUCUUUUUUUUUUUAACGAAUAACAAAUUUGACCUGAAAUUAAAAUUUUAAUCAAUGUUUUCUAAUAAGACGUGUCAACUCUAGCUUAUAUCAAAUAAUUGAAAGAUGUAUAUAUUAUGGACUAAAAUAUUAGAGAUUUAAAUCUUUUCACAUUACUGUUUUCAAAAACCGCAUCAACAAAAUGUAUUCAUAAAGUGCAACUAAAUAUUGUGUUCUGAAAAUUCCCACAACAAAUUUAUAGAAGUAUUACAACAAGAUUGGAAUCAAAUAAUAAAAUAUAUAAUUUCUUUGAUCACAUCUAAAUUAUAUGGAAUGAAUAUAGUUAUUAGACUCUUACUAGUAUCAAUUUAAAUUUUAAACUUACAUUCUACUUAAAUACAUUUGAGAAAGUUGAAAGUCUAAAUUGAUAUAAUAAUGAGUUUAGGGUUUAAAUUGGUAUUGAUAUAUAAUUGCCAUAAAUUUUAUAAAUCUUUGAAUUGAUUAGACCUAAACUUCUCAGUUGGACAACAAAUAGAGAACUGUUCAGUACCGAUUUAAACUUUAUAAGAUAGACGAUGUGAUUUGUUAGGUAUUGUUAUAAUCCAAAUAUUUAAAACUGAAAAGUAAGUUUGCCCAAGCUUCCCAUGUUAAUUAGAGUCUAAUGGGAGUAAACUUACCUGACUUAUAAAUAUUAUUUAAAAAUGUUUACCCAUUAGCAUGAUUUUAAAAUUUUAUAUGUAUUAUAUUAUUUUAGAUUAAUAAUUUUUUUAUUAUUCGUAAGUGUUUAUUGUUUCAUUCUAAAAUUUAAAUAAUUUACACUUUAAACACGUGUUAUUAUAAUCAAAACUAAAAUAGUUUACAUUUCAAACACAUAAUAUUAUAACUAAAAUUAAAAUAAUUUACUAUUCAAAUACAUAUUAUUAUAAUAAAAACUAAUAAUAUAUUAUUGGAUCGUUAUAAUGGUUACAAUACUCUAUAAUAACUUAGGAACAUAAUAACCAACUUAUAUAUAUUGAUAUAGAUUCAUAUGAUUAGGUAUUUAGGAAUUGUUAAACAUGGAAGUAAAGUUGAAAUGAAAUUAUGACUUAUGGAAAAACAAAACAAAAGUAAAAAAGAGAAACAGAAUCUUCCAACCGAAUAAAUGGAAAAAUGGGACAAAAUUUCAAAUAAACCUAAAAAAAAAUGGGGAAUACAUAAAACAAAUGCAGUAUUGAUGAGAAAUGAGAGGAUGUAAUGUAAGGGGUAGAAAAGGCAAAAUAAGUGUAAAAUGAGUUAGACCAUAUAUUUCUAAACUUUUGCUACAAAUAAUAGGUAAUAUAUAUAUGCAUCAUUAUUCAAAUUAAAUCUCAAUUACCUAAUGCUAUGAUACAACAAAUCAACCAUACAUCAACAAGCCUCCUUGAAGAUAUAUAUAUAUAUAUAUAUAUAUAUAUAUAUAUAUAUAUAUAUAUAUAUAUAUAUAUAUAUAUAUAUAUAUAUAUAUAUAUAUAUAUUGUGAAUUAUUAAAUAUAAACAAUACCUUUAAAUUAAUAAUCCAAUCAUUUUUCAGUUAAAAAUGUUGUGGACGAUAGGACGAGCUUUGCACAUAGCUUCCAAUGGCACCACCUUGGGCAUAGUGACGCCUCUUCCUUCCGUCAUGUCCACUUUCUCUUCCCCAAUCCUCUCCCACUCGUAGCAUUGAAUCAGAGUCGCUAGAGUCAGUCCCACCACUCGUUGAGCCAUGCUGGAGCCGGGGCAAGCUCGUCGUCCGACUCCAAAUGGAAUCAUCUUUGGGAUUUGAUGAUGGUCACUUGAUUCUAAGUUUUGGUGUCUUUCUGGCUUGAAUAAUGUGGGCUCUUCCCAUUGACUAGGGUCUCUGUGGAUAGCCCAUGCAUUAACCAAUACAAUCGUAUCACGUGGUAUUUCGUACUCACUGAUUGUACAAUUGUUGGAUGUUAGAUGUGGCACUAGCAUUGGAGCAGCUGGGUUCAAUCGAAGAGUCUCAUAAAUGAUUCCUUGAAGAUAUGGUAACUUAGAGACGUCUAAUUCUUCUGCUAGUUGUUUUUCUCCAAUUUGAUUGUCCAACUCUUCUCUAGCCUUUUUUAGUACCUCUGGAUUGUUGAGCAAGUGAGCUAAAGCCCAUUCAAUUGUCACAGCUGAUGUGUCUGUUCCAGCUAGUAGUAACACCUGUACGCUUAUUUUUGUUUAGAGUUUGAUAUAAUACACACAAAACAGAUAUCACAAAACAAAAACAAAUCCUACCAAGUCAAUAAUUAGGACUAAAUAUGGAAAAAUUAGUAAAAAAAAAUCUAAACAAUGUUAUUUCAAAGCAAACACUCUUUCAUGUUACUCCUAACCCUAAAGCUUGUAAGCCAUAAUUAAAUAUGAAAAUUAAUUAAUGGUAAUUUUCUCUCUACAAUAUGGCCAAGUGCUUCCCCAACGUCAAAGGUGCGUGACUUUUUCUUUUUUCACUCAAAGCAAACAGUUUGUGCAUGAAAAUAUUAGAGCAUUUUUCUAUCUUUGCCCCAAAAUGCUUUUAAAAAUAGUUUGAGGGGAAAUGCUAAAUGUAGAGGAGAGACGAUAGGGGUCCCCCAGGCCGCAAGGCCACCACUUUGAAUCUUCGUUGCCAUUCUGUCCUAUUAUAUGUUCUUAUAUAUAUUUCGGGGAUUACCCAAAAGAGAUGGAUAAAGAGCAAAAUUCUUGAGAAUAAUGGCAAUGAAGAUUGAAAAUGAGUGAGAAAUUAUGGAGAUUAAUUACCAGAACAAUUCCUUUGAUUAUUUCAUCUCCAUAGUACUCAGGCUCCGUUUCCUGCAGAGAUAGCAAAUGAUCGAUCAUUGUGUUCCUUUCCUCUUCCUUAUUGCUCCGAUGUUCAUCAAUCAAUCCCUGCAAAAACCUGUCCAUCCUUUUCCCAAGUCUCGAAACCUUCCUCUUAUAUCCAUUCGGGACCCAAUUCAUCAUCGGAAUGAAAUCUCCCGGAUUCGAUACUCCUCCCAUCGACACAAUCUGUUUAAUCAGCUCUCUCGACUGUCUCGCUUCCUCCACAUCCCUCACUUCAUCACCGAAAUACCUCUUUCCGGCCGCCAUUCUCAUCGAUAUGUUAAACGUGAGUUCCGAAAUCGACGAUUGCAUCUCUACUUUCGAGUAUCCAUGCAUCGAAUUCCUCGAUAGCUUCUUCAGUAACCGUUCCACUUCAUCCUUCCGGGUUCCUGCGAAUUUAUUGAGGCGAGACGCUGAAAAGAUCUCGAUGGCUCCGAUUCGGCGGAGGUUCCGCCAGUGGUCUCCGUAAGGUGACCCUACCAUCGUAGUGUGGUUGUAGCCGAUGUGUUUUCCGAAUAGCAACCGAGGACGGUUGGCUAAAACGAUGUCGUUCUUAGUGAAGCACUCCUCCACUGCUGGCAAUGACGAGACGACCACAACGAGGCGAGAUCCAAACCGGAGAGAGAUUAAUGGUCCGUAUUUUGCAGAGAGUUUGUGUAAAGUUCGGUGGAGGGGGAUUUUGAUAUAAUGGAGGUGGCCGAUGAUGGGGAGAGACGGAGGACUGGGGGGUAAGUUUGUAGGGCGGGUGCGGAGGUUGAAGGCGAAGAGGAGAGAGAUAAUAGAGAGAAAUAGGUAAAGGAGAGAGCAACAUUCCAUGGCGUUUUUGUUAAAGAAGAAGUAUGUUUAAAUUUGGAGUUGGGGAGUGAAGAUGAAGAUAUGGGUACAUGGGUGAGGUAUUUAUGGUAUUGAAGCCACGACAACGACAUUGUGUAAUCACAUUCAGCUAUUUUAAACUAAAUAUAAUUCCAUCAAAUAUCUUUCUUCUUCAUUUCCUUUCCCAACAUUUUCAAAUCUGUUUACUCCUCAGACCUUAGUUAUAGAAAAACCAAUAUCAUAGGUUUAAUCAAUUAUUUAUUUGGCCAACUUUUCGUAAUGUUUCUAAUGCUUUUGUUUUUGUGCACCCAUGGAAUGAAGAGUAUAAACGUCCAUUUCUUUCUUUUAUCGCUUUUUUAGUAUUAGUCAUGUCAUAUGCAAAUAUGUUUUUGUAACAUCUUUUGUGUGGAUGGAUUUGGUUUCAUUUCUUUCUUCUUCUUUUCAUUCUUUUCUUCCUGUUUUUGUUUAGUUUGUGCUUUGACAUACGUUCAAAUUUAAUACAUUUGCAAACAUAAUAUAAUAAAUAAUAAUAAUAAAAUAAUUAAAAAAAGCUUAGAGUUAGAUAUGUUUAGUUGUAAUGCUAGUUUAGCUAAAGUUUAUUUAUUCAUUUAUAAAUCUUCUCGACAUAUGUUCGUUCAAGGUUUGAUAUAUCUUUUAAAAAUAUUGAUAACUGACACUCCUCUUCUCUUUUUCAUGUCUUUUAUCCUACCUCAUAAUAGUAACUAAGGAACGGACAAAUAGACCAUAAUAUAUAUGCAUUACUAUUCAAAUUAAAUCUUAGUUACUUAAUAUUCUACCAUACAACAAAACAACCCUACAUUAACACACCUCCUUUUAAGAUAAAGAUGUCACUUUCUUUUUUUUUUUUUUUUUGUAAAUUAUUAAAUAUAAACAAUACCCUUAAACAAUCCAAUCAUUUUUCAGAAUUUUUAGUUAAAAAUGUUGUGGAUGAUAGGGCGAGGUUUGCACAUGGCUUCCAGUGGCACCAUCUUGGGCAUAGUGACGCCUCUUCCUUCCGACAUGUCCACUUUCUCGUCACCAAUCCUUUCCCACUCGUAGCAUUGAAUUAGCGCCGCCAGAGUCAACCCCACCACUCGUUGAGCCAUGCCCGAGCCGGGGCAAGCUCGUCGUCCGACUCCAAAUGGGAUCAACUUUGAAAUAUGAUGAUCAAUUGAUUCUGACUUUUGGUGUCUUUCUGGUUUGAAUAGUGUGGGUUCUUCCCAUUGAUUAGGGUCUCUAUGGAUAGCCCAUGCAUUAACCAAUACAAUCGUGUCACGUGGUAUUUUGUAUCCACUAAUUGUACAAUCAUUGGAGGUUAGAUGUGGCACUAGCAUUGGAGCAGCUGGGUUCAAUCGAAGAGUCUCGGAGAUGAUUCCUUGAAGAUAUGGUAACUUGGAGACGUCUGAUUCUUCCACUAGUCGUUUUUCUCCAAUUUGAGUGUCUAGCUCUUCUCUAGCCUUUUUUAGUACCUCCGGAUUGUUGAGCAAGUGAGCUAAAGCCCAUUCAAUUGUCACCGCUGAUGUGUCUGUUCCGGCUAGUAGUAACACCUGCACAUUUAUUUUUAUUUUGAGUUUGACAUAAUACAUACAAAAGACAUAUCAACAAAAACAAAAAUAAGUCAUAAAAAGUUAAUUAGGACUAAAUAUGAAAAAAUUAGUCACUAGAAUCUAGAUAUACCUUAUUGCAUAUACCUUCUAACAAGAACAAUAUCUAAAUAGAAGAAAAAAUAAAUAUAUAAUCAUAAGUUGAUAGUUGCUAAAAGAUAAAUUUUCCCUUUUCACUUUAAAAAUAUCUUUUAUAUUAUUCUUUUUUCACUUUGUAAUAAUUGGGUUAGAUCGUCAACACGAAUUUAGCUCAACCGACAUCUGUAUGUACCUGUGGACAAGAGAUUUCAUGUUCAAAUCUCCACCUCUGCAUUUACUACAAUACAUUUUAAAAAUAAAUUGAGGUGGAUCUAUAGAGAUGUGGGGCUACACUCUAGUGUUCCUCUUAUUUAGAUGCAUGUUGAUCAUAACUUCAGAUACCCGACCUAAGAUGGAAAAUGCUCACUUCAACCAAAAAGAAAAGAAACCUUAUAAAACAUAAUUUAAAAAGAGAGAGGAGCUUUUUGCGAUGUGUUUAGAGAAUUGGUUUGGGCAAGGGGUUGAUGCACCAAAGUGCUUUUUCUAUUCUUGAUCACUAAAUAUAAAUUAAUGGUAAUUCUAUCUCUGCAUUAAGGCCAAGUGCGUGCCUAUUAUUAUUAAUUUUAGGUGAAGACUGACUUUUUUUUCUUUCAAAGCAAACACUUGUGCAUGCUACUUUAAGUAUGAUUGAAUAAUUAGAUGUAAAAGUAUUAAGAAAUUUUUAACCACCAGUAUGAUUGAAUAAUUAGAUGUAAAUAGACAAAAGAUUAGUGUAUAUAUCUAAUUAUUUUAUUUUUCAAUAAAUUAAUUUCACCCGAUCGUAGGAGGAGAAAAUACUUCUUAAGUAAAUACUUUUAUGAAUAAGUUAUUUAAAUAAUUUAAUUAUUUUUUUAUAACGAAACAUGAAUGGAAAAUAAAAUUAAAACCAUGUAUAAAAUAAAGCAAAAAGUUUUAAAUAGACUAUAGAGACUUUUUUUUUUACUAAGUUUUUGUUUGAUUAUUUUUUAUUUUUAAUCGUAUAAUAUGCUUUUCUAUAUAUAAAUUAGUAAAUUCAAGUCAAUCGGACAAAAAAUUAAUUUGAAUUAAUUAGGUAGAAAUAUAAUAUAAGAGACUAAGUGUUUGCUCCGAAUAAAAAUUUACUUUUAUUAUAAUUGGAUAAAUGUUGUAAAUUAUAAUAAAAUUUCGAUAACUAAUUUUUAUAACAUUUUUCAACUUUCUCCUGUUUAUAAUUUUUUUUUAUUAAUAACCUUUUUUUUUUUUACUAACUUAUGAUGAUAAUUGUGGUCAACCUCCAGUACUUAUAAUUGUUUUACACUAAUUGCCGUGCCUACCUUCAAUCACAAUUUAUUAUUGAAAAGAUUCAAAUACUGAUAAAUAUUUUUUUAAUAAAAGAAAAAAUAACUCAAAAUAUUUUUUUAAUAAAAGAACCAUUAGUUUUUAAUUUAUUUUUUAUAACUUGAUAGAAAUUUAGUUAAAAAGAUGCAAAUAAAAAGAAAACAUUGAAGAGAGAGAGAAGAGGGAGGAAAUAAAAGAAAAGAAGAAAGAAAGGGAAAGAGAGCCUAAACGGCAGUUAUAAGAAAACGAGAACAAAAAGAAGAAAAUAGAGAAAUCUAGUGGUUAAAAAUAUAAUUUUAGAAAAAGUGAAAUGAAGAGACACGCGUCAAUAAAGCCAAAACAAGAACCACUAAAUUAUUUUCAAAACAGUCCCUGUACCUAAUUAUUUUUCAAAACAACCCUUGUGCCUAAUUAUUUUUCAAAACAAUCCUCCUACCUAAUUACUUUUCAAAACUGCUUUAUUUUCUUCAAAUAACCCCAGAUUUGAUGACCCACUUGAUUGGACCCAAAAAUGAAAGAAGACAGUGGUUAGAGGUCCCUCAAGCUGCAGACCACCACUUUGAAUCUUUGUUGCGAUUCUCAUAUAUUAUAUAUUUUUGUAUCCAUUUCGGGGUUUAUCCUAAAGAGAAGGAAAAAAACGCCAAAUUCUUGAGCAGGAUAAUUAUAACCGAAUGGUAAUGGAGAUUGAAAAUGUUUGUUAAACGAAGAUUGAAAGUGAGUCAGAAAUUAUGGAAAUUUAUUACCAGAAUGAUUCCUUUGAUUAUUUGAUCUCCAUAGUACUCAGGCUCCGUUUCCUGCAGAGAUAGCAAAUGAUCGAUCAUUGUGUUCCUUUCUUCUUCCUUAUUGCUCCGAUGUUCAUCAAUCAAUCCCUGCAAAAACCCGUCCAUCCUCUUCGCAAGUCUCGAAACCUUCCUCUUAUAUCCAUUCGGGAUCCAAUUCAUCAUCGGAAUGAAAUCUCCCGGAUUCGAUACUCCUCCCAUCGACACGAUCUGUUUAAUCAGCUCUCUCGACUGUCUCGCUUCCUCCACAUCCCUCACUUCCUCACCGAAAUACCUCUUUCCGGCCGCCAUCCUCAUCGAUAUGUUAAACGUCAGUUCUGAAAUCGACGAUUGCAUCUCUACUUUCGAGAAUCCAUACAUCGAAUUCCUCGAUAGCUUCUUCAGUAACCUUUCCACUUCAUCCUUCCGGGUUCCUGCGAACUUAUUGAGGCGAGACGCUGAAAAAAUCUCGAUGGCUCCGAUUCGGCGGAGGUUCCGCCAGUGGUCUCCGUAAGGUGACGCUACCAUUGUAGUGUGGUUGUAGCCGACGUGUUUGCCGACUAGCAACCGAGGACGGUUGGCUAAAACGAUAUCGUUCUUAGUGAAGCACUCCUCCACUGCCGGCAACGACGAGACGACCACAACGAGGCGAGACCCAAACCAGAGAGAGAUUACUGGUCCAUAUUUUGCAGAGAGUUUGUGUAAAGUUCGGUGGAGGGGGAUUUUGAUAUAAUGGAGGUGGCCAAUGAUGGGGAGAGACGGGGGACUGGGGGGUAAGUUUCUACGUCGGCUGCGGAGGUUGAAAGCGAAGAGAAGAGAGAUAAGAGAGAGAAAUAGGUAAAGCAGAGAAGAAAUUUCCAUGGCGUUUUUGUUAGAAGAGUAUAUUUAAAUUUGGAGUAGAGAGUGAAGAUGAAGACUCUGCUUGGGUGAAGUAUUUAUAGUGAUCGAAGCCACGACGAUGACAUUGGCAGUGUGCUGUAAUGUUUAAGAAGCUCUUUGGAUUAAAGAUUAACCGGGGCUUAUUGGACAAUAAUAACCCCUAUUUGCUUCACCCAAUAUUAUUUAAAGUCUCUUAUUAGCUACAUUAUAUAUAUAUAUAUAUUUUUUUUAUGAAACUAAAAUAGUCUAAUAUCAAAUACAUCAAUUAUAACGAUUUAUUCUAAUCAAAUUAUAAUAAUUUAUUUUUUACUACAAACACUCUAUUUAAUAUAUAUUAAAUAAUUCCAUCGAAUAUCUUUCUUUCAUUUCGUUUUUCAACAUUUUCAAAUAUUCUACUGUGUUCACUUAAUAAUUGGCUUGAAUUAAUUAAUUAUUUGGCCAAACUUUCCUAAUGUUUUUAAUGCAUGAUAUGGUUGCUAUUUUAGUACUAGUUCUAAUCCUUCCAAACUUGAGUUGUAGGUAUAUUUUGGUAUGAUCCGUUUGGUUUGGUUUAGUUUGUUUGUUCUUUUUUACUAUUUUGAUUGUGUUUUUGUAUUGUUUGUGCUUUGACUUUUGUUCAAAUUUAAUACCUUUGCAAAAAUAAUAAUAAUAAAUAAAUAAAUAAUAAAAGCUUGGAAUUGAUGAGUUUAGUUCAUGAAGAUCGUUUACCUAAAGUUUAUUUAUUCGUUUGCAAACUUUCUUUUGACAUACAAAUAUUUAUUUAAGGUUUGAUAUACCUUUAAAAAAUAUCAAGAACGAAUAACAUGUUAUGUUAGAUUAGGUUUUUUUCUUUUUCCUUUUCCUCUAUUUGACCCUAACUCAUAAUUGUAAUUAAGGAAUGGAUGAACAUUUUUGUCUACUAAAAAUCUAGAUUUGUGUGUUCCACAACUGAAAUAUAUAAUGCUCUAACUAGAACAUUAGGUGACAUUAUCUUUCCUUCAAAUUAGAAAGUUAGGAAAUUAAUUUAAAAGGACCAAAUAGUUGAGAUAAUGGUACAAUUUUUCUAUAGCUUAAUUUAAUGGCCCUUUAGACAUGCUUGUGAUAUUGCUAUAAUUAUUUGUUUACAAAUUACAUUAAAUAUAUGACUCAGCUCUUCAAUCCAAAAAUCAUGCAUCCAACAUUUUUGCAAAUUCAGUUCGUUGAAUUUAUUUAAAGCUACAAAUCAAAGAUAACUAAUCCAAAAUCCAAAAUUUCUAUGUAUGUAAAUCCAUUUUGAGUAGAGACAAAAUGAAAAACAAGAGAAUAAUUUAUAGUCCCAUUUUUAUCUAAAAUUAUGUAGAAACUCGCACACUGCCCCCACCUCCCACAUCCCCAUCCUUUUCCAUGUUGAAGAUGCUCAAUCCAUUUUUGAUCUCUCUUGUUUCCUAAUUUUAUCUAUUAAUCUUCCUAUCAAACCACAUGUAUAUCUACCUAAACAACCAAAAACUAUAGUUUAUAGUUCAAUAAUUGUCAUAUAUCCCUACUAAUUGUAAAAAAAAAAAAAACUAUAAUUAUUUUGUGGUUGAAAGUUAGAACUAUUAUGUGUCACAAAUAUAUUCGACUAAAAAUGUGAUUGUUUUUAAAUAUUUUAAAAAUAUAUACAUAAUAAUAAUUAUGAUAUGGUGGUACACAUAUAUUUUUAUUAUCGAUACAAAAACGAACUUAACACAAUUAACAUGGUUUCAUUUUAUACAUUUAAUACAACACAUUUUAUAAUAUAUAUAUGUUUGGGUUUGAUUACAAAGUUUACCUGAGUGGUUUUUGUAGGUAUUUUUAUUAAAUUGGUUUUCAUAUUAGAAAAAAUGUCUUUCCUGAAGAGUCGUCAACUUUGGCUUAUAAUUUCAAAGUUCCCAAUUUCUUGUGUACUGUUUUUUUUAUUGAAUAACAUAUUUGACAUGAAAUUAAAAAAAUUUAAUCAAUGUUUCUAAGACAUUAUAUGUCAAACUUUAGUUUUGCUCAAAUAAUUUUUUAAAAAAUGUAUAUAUUAUCAACUAAAAGAAUUAGAGAAUUGAAUAUUUUCAAUAUUGGUGUUAAAUUGUUAUCAAAAGAUCGGAUUAAACAACUCAAUAAAAUGUAUACUAAUAAGCGCAACUAAAUGCUUGUUUUGAAAAUUCACAUAAUAAAGUUAUAGGUAUCUUACAACAAGAUUGGAUUCAUAAUAAUAAAGCAUAUAAUUUUGUACAAUUCCCUAUUUUAGGUAAAGGUAUCUAUCACGUGUUAAGUUAUAUAAAUAAUCCAAACUACAUGACAGGUGGGUCUCCUUUGUAUUUAAUAAUCUUAAUUUAGUUCAUUCACAUGCUAAUAAUAGACUGAUUAAUAAUACUUUACCAAUAUCCAUAUCCAAAGGCCAGAAAGAUUGUUUUAAAUAAUUUAAAAUAUUACAAAACAUAGGUCACGUCAUCUUAAUUGAUACAGUAUUUUUUUGUAAAUACAAAUGAGUGUUUAGUUGAUUUUUUUUUAAAAAAAAUAGAACAUAGGAAAGAAGAAAAGACAAAGAAAAGUUGAGGUGAAAUUGAUGCAAUGACUUUGGGUUGAAUUAUGGGAAACAAUGGAUGAGGUGAGGAUAAAGAAAACUUGAAGGUGGGGGUUUGUCAUGAGCGUCAUGGAAUACGUAACGGGAACUUUGAUAUUUAGAUGACGCAAGCAAAUAGGUCACUUCAGGGUACUCUUCACUUUCACGGCCGGAUAUCGACAACAAACUCUAUCGUCGGCUGCUGCUACCCAUCACCUUUGCCAUUCCAUCUUCCAUUCUUUUCCUUUUAGAUCAAAUAUCAAUCAUCAAAACAUUGGACUUACCCUCAUUUAUUUCAUUCAUUAAUAAUUAUAUCAAUUUAAUUAACUUCAAGUUAAUAUUUGAUGAAUUUUUAGCUCUCUAAUUUUUAUAAGACAACUAAUUUAAAUAAUUUUAAACUUAGAAUAAAUUUAAGUAUUUUGUUAUAUGUUAGUGGGACACAUUUAUAAAAGGGAUUCUUUUAAAAAUAAAAAAUUUGACAAUUAUUUAUGUCGGGUUGAACAAAACUACUACAAGACAAAAUUCAAAAUACUUAUUUUUAUAUUAAGAGUUAAAUUCUAUUUUCAAUCAUUUUUUUUAUUGUAUGGAAGUUGAAAGUUUAGACGGAUAUAUUUAUGAAAAAUCCAUGAUUUAAAUUAACAUUUUUUAAAAUCUAGAAUUUGAAUUGGUAUAUUUAUACUAAUUGACAGUAAUUUUUUAUUCUACAUACUUCUAACUUUAUGGAUGUCCUCGAAGGGACAUUUGGAUUUAAUUUCUUUUCGUGAUUUUUCAACUUUAAAGUAAUGGAUGCAUAUAUUUAAAAAAAAAGUAGGAUAUAUUUAGUGAGAAAUAACAUAAAUUUGAAAAAAAAAAUUUAAGAAAAAUAAGUUAUAUUUUAUGUUUUUAUAUAUGUAUUUUGAUGGCAGAUUUGAACUAUGAUUUGAUGUCAAAUAUCAAAUUAAAGAAAACAUAGUUAUAUUUGAUUUUUGAAUCUAAUAUAAAAUUUAGAGGAAAAGUUUAAUUUAAACUAUUGUUUAAUAUGUAUAAUUGGUAUUUAUAAAUCAUAAAAGUAAUUGUUAUUUACUAAAUAUUAGAUGAUAAUAAAUUAUUCAUUAAUUUUUGUUAGAUUGUAUUUUGUGUUAAAAAAGUGUAUAACUAUUUUAAUUAAUAUUAUAAUAUAUUGGAGUGUAAACUUUUUUCUACUUUUGAAAAAAACCUCAAUUUAUUACGUAUUCUUAAAUAUAAUAGUUUGUCAAUAGUUAUAAAUAUACUUAUAAUUGUUUAAUAUACUUAUGCAUUUAAAAACUUUAAAUUCAAAAUCAAAACACAAUGAAAAUGAAAAAGUAAAAAAUAUAUUGAUUUGGGAAAAGCAGAAUUUGAAUUGUUGUGUUGUCAAACACAUAUGGUUGAAGCCAAUAAAACUAAAACACAUCAACCAAACGUACAAUUAGACAAUUAUUAAACCAGAUAUUAAAGCUCAAUAUUUAUACGUGUAUAAUUUAAAUGUUAUAACUUAUCUAAAUAUAUUAAUUUAAACUUUUAAAUUUAUACUUUGGUUGAAUACAUUUAACUGUGAGUUUAAAUUGAUAUAAUAAUUAGAUUAGUAUUUAAAUUGAUACAAUUUUGUAUAAAUUGGUAUUUGUCAUACAUUUGAUAUUAUAAAUGUUUGAAUUGGUUAGACCUAAAAACUUCUCAUUUGGACAACAAAAGGAGAAAACCAAGUCCAUACUGACUUAUACUUUAUACAAUAAAUGUGAUGUGUUAGGUAUUGUUAUAAUCCAAAUAUUUAAAUGAGUGGAAGAAAAAGUUUACACAAGUUUAGAAGGUUAUUUAUGACCCGUUUCGGAUAAUAAUUGUCUAAGAUUAUAAUAACCACGUCAUUCUACACUAAAUAUUAAUUUUUAAAUAUCUAAUUAGGCACGGUAAACAUAAUUUCAACACUUUUUAUAUGUUACAAUAAUUAUUAUUUCCUACAAGUUUUACUAUUUUACAUUUGUAAUUUGUUUUUAUUAUUUCUAAAGUGUUCACGGUUUUAUUUUCAAACUAAAACAGUUUACAUUUCAAACACGUAUUACUAUAAUAAAAAAUAUAUAAUAAAUUAUAAAAUAAAUUACAGUUCAAACACAUGUUAUUAUAACCGAAACUAAAAUAAUUUAUAGUUCUAAGUGUAAAUGUUUACAAUCCAACUAUAAUAACCUCCCAAUGUUUCCUCCGUAUUUAUCCCUUAGAUGGUUUCAAACAAAGAUAAAUUGUUAUUUUACAAAAUUAGUGGGGCUUUUUAAAAAAAAUAAUUGAAAAAACAUAUUAUUUACAUCCACUAAGAGAAAAAGAUCCAUUUAACUUGAUUUUCUUUUUGAGAAAGUGUAAAUAUAUUUUGUUAAUCUUCCUAUUUUUUACCAUUUUUCACAUGAAUAAAUUUGUUAAAUAUUGUUUAAUUAAAAUAUUGUAUUAUAUAUAACUCUAUAUGACUUUAGUUUCGAAAGGAGACUAGAUGUAUUGAAUUAAUUUGCUGUUUAUGGAGGAAGGUUUUUGAACAAAUUUAAUCCAUUAGAAAACAAAUGUAUAAAUGAAUUGGAUUGGAAUAUAUCCUCAACUCAAUACAUAUUUUCGGGUUGGUUAGUCUUGCAAGUUUUUAACUCAACCAAUCAAAUAUGAGUUAAACUAGGCUGACUUUAAGUUGUAUUAUAUAUAUUUUUAGCAAAAAAAAAAAAAAACUCUCAUAAUAAUGUUUAACUUUUAUUAAAUAAAUAUAUAUAUAAAUGAAAAUGAGAAGAGUUUUAAAUAACAAAGAAAUUAAAGAACUAACAUAAAAGAAAAACACAAAAUAGAUGAUAAAGAUUAUAUCCAAGUAUGUCUUUCAAUAUUCAUGGUCCAUAGAAGUCGAGAAUUUUCAUCUUCUAAAAGUGUUGAAGGGAAUGAAAGCGAUUCAAACCAAACGGUCCCAACUUAAUGUUUUGCUUGAGCUCCAAUUUGAUACUCUCAACACUAUCAAACUCUUAAAUAUCUUCUAGCGGUGGGUUGACCGAAAAAUAUUUUAGAGUAGCAAAAUCUAACUUCUAUCAUUAAGUGAUAAAUGACGAAAUAAGUCUAUCACUAAAUGAUAUAUUUGUAAGCUCCAUGAACCAGCCUUAAACUGUAGAGAUGGUUACAAUCACACUUGGAUACUUUUAACUCGAUCAAUUAUUCCUUUAUCUUAAUUAAUAUUUAUAAUUGAUGGCAAUUGCAAUCAUAAUAAUCAAAUAUAUAACAACAUUUCAACAAAUUUAUAAAAGUCUACAACGGAUUUUGCUUUAUUUAUAACUUUCUUAAAAUGUUGUUAUAUAGUUAUUACUUUUAAUUUAAUUACUAUAUUUGUAAUUAUCAAAAUUUUAAAUUGUUUGAUAUGAUUUGAUUUCAGAAAGGGAAACUUGUCCUUAUUACAGGAGAAAAAAAACAAAAAAAGGUUUGAAUUUUGUUUACGUUGUGGUUGGGUUUUACCAUAUUAUCCCUUAGGUGUGGUUUCCAAAUCAUUUUCUGCUUCUUUCAAUAUUCGUCUUUGAGCUUUUUUGCUCCUUCUAACGGUAUCUCUUCUUUUACAAUACGUCCUUCUUUCUCUUUUUAAACCAUCAGUUUUUCAAAUCUUACUUCUGAAGCUUUUUCCCAUUCGUCUGUUAAACCCACCGGUUAGCGUUCUACAUCCUUCUAUAAUUCCUUAUUUUUUUUUUGUUAAAUUCAUCAAACAAAUACAAUUUUUUAACAAUUCCUUUCUUUUUUUUUAGCUUCCAGUUUUCUGUUUGGUUUCAAAUAUGUGUAAAAAAUAGAUAACACAUCAUUAUUCAACCAACACUUUGAUUUUUGCUUUUUUUCGUUUGUUACCGUUUUUACGGUUGGACAUAUUCAUCAUUUUUUUUGUAUUAUUUUCUACACACCAAACACAUACUAUUAUAACUCAAACUCAAACUAUUCUAAUCAAAUAACUUACUUAUCGUCCCAAACACCCAAAUUAUCGGUUGAUUUAUUUACGGCCAAAUAAACACAUUUUAGCUUUCCGAGAAUCUCACUGUUCCAUAACUUUUUUUUUUUUUCAUCUGCCCUCCCCUGGAUUCAUUUGAGAAAAAACUUGACUAGCAGUUAAAGGAAUGUCUAGAUCUUGACUCAUAUGUUCCUUUUCUUCUCUUAAAAUGGAAGAACCAAUGGAAGGAAUUCUUUGAAUGAACAUUGAAGAGCUCUCGUUGGCAUUGGUUUCACUAUCUUCAUGCGGCAUUCUAUGAUGAACAUUUUGUUCAAGUUGCAAUGCAUACUCCAAAUCCCACACCACAUCCCCCAUUGCUGGUCUAUUUUCACCAUCGUCUUGUAAGCAUUUUUCUAUUGUUUCACUGAACUUUCUCAAGGAAUUAGGAUCGAUCUGACCCUUUAAUUUUGGGUCGAUGAUCUCUUCAAGCAACUCCAUUUUCUUGCACUUCAAUCCCCAUUCUGCUAGAUUUAUUUGCUCAUUUGGAAGUGUUGGAUUCAAAGCUAGUCUCGCACACAAAACCUCAAGAAGAACUACCCCAAAUGAGUACACAUCAGAUUUCUGUGUCAAUUGUCGUGUUCGAAAAUACUCAGGAUCGAGAUACCCGAUUGUCCCUUUAAUAUCUGUGCUUACAUGAGUUUCAUCCAAGGAACUUGCUGUUGAAAGGCCAAAAUCAGAUACUUUAGCAACAAGGUUCUCAUCAAGCAAAAUGUUAGUUGAUUUCACAUCACGGUGAAUGAUUCCACUGGAUAAGCCUUUGUGUAGGUAAUGCAAGCCUUUAGCUGCACCAAUGCAAAUUUCUAGCCUUUUCUUCCAAGACAAGGGAGGAAAGUUUGAGUUGUAAAGAUGCUCCCUUAGUGUUCCCUUCUCCAAGAAUUCAUAAACCAAAAUCAUCUCAAGCCCUUCAUUGCAGUACCCAAUAAACGAAACGAGAUGCCGAUGUCGAAUUCGUGACAGUAUCGUGAUUUCUCUCUCGAAUUCGGAGAUACCUUGUCCAGCCCCUGGCUGGCUUCUCUUGACAGCUACUCUCAUGCCAUUUCUCAUAACUCCCUUAUAGACUUUCCCAAAACCACCCUCACCAACAAGGAAUUUCUUGUUGAAAUUAUUGGUAGCCGUUUUGAUUUCGGCGAGAGAAAACUUCAACCCAAGAUUCAAGUUGGGGAUGGGGGAGUUGCUUGAGGUUCUCUCAGUAAACUUGCUGUGAGUACUUCCACCUCCAAAUACAGGUAAUGGAUACCAUUUUGUGUGCGUUAUUUGUGAAGCUUUCUCUGAUUUUGGCUUCCUCCAUUUCAGACCAAAAUAGAUCCCAAAGCCUAAAAUACAGAUCAAACCAAAAAUCCCAAAGGCCAAACCCACAAAAACACCCACACGUUUGUUUUUCGUUUCCUUGACGACAGGAUCUUUGGUAUGUUCAUCCAUGGCUUCCAUAAUCUCAACCCCAUUCAAAAAAGCAUUGGACUGUAAUGUAUCUGGAUGAGGACUAACACUGACACUAAUGAACCCAUCUUCACCACAAUUCACCAAGAAAUCUAAAUGAAAUGGAUGAUUAACCAAAUCAGAAGAGCCAGUUUUUUUACUAAACCUAUUGCCAAUAGAAAGAUUGAAGUAAAGAAAACCGUGGGAUGUUUUACCAAUUAGAUCAUAGAAAUGAAGUCGGAGAAGAUGGCGAGUAUGUUUUCUUGAAGGAAAAUGCCAUGUUAUAUUGAUCGAGUUAAGAGAGGAAUUUAUCAAUUCUUUGGCAGUUUGGUAUACGAGUUCAGGCGCAAAAUAAUGGUCGUCUUCAUUCAAGAAUUUCAGUUUUGUUCGAUGAGGAAUGCUGUUUUUUGCAGAGCUCGGAUUCAAUAGAUAAGUGUUGUCCUGUUCUUGUUCCCAUUUACCCCACAGUCCGUCUGUGUCCGGGAGAAUUUCAGGACCUCCCACAUUGAUUCUGUAAAUUGUAUGUAAAACUAGAGAUGGGAAAAUCUUGGACUCACCUUUUUCUCCGGCGAGGGUAAUCACUUUAGCUUUGUCUGGAAUGAAGUUCGGUGGGAUGGGGAACACUUCAAUGGCAUUUACAUAAGCAAUCGAUGAAGAAUUUGGUGAAAAAUAGAUCCGAAAAUUUUCCCCUGAGUUUAAGCACAAGAAGAAUUCCUCAAUUGAGGUAGAAUUGUUACGGAUAUUAGUGGAGUUAAAGUUUCGAAGUAGGAGGAACCCAGAAGCAGAAACGUUGAAAACAGAUGUGGAUAAAUCAGUAGAGAAAUUGAAAGGGGAGAAAUGAAGACGUACAAUAUGAACAGUAUCUUGGUCGACUUCGAAUUCGUAAAAUGAUGGGUCCUUGAAAAUCCUUAUGGAAUCGUACAGAGAUGGAGACUCAGUGGAAUGAUCGACGACUUGACCGGAAUUAUGUGGGAUGAAUCUGAAACUGAUAGUAUUGGUGGUAUUCAAGUCGCCGAUGAAGCUCCGGCCAGCAUUAAAAACAGUGGUCUGUGAUCCACAGUUCACAAAAUACUUAUCUGGGGAAGUGUAUGAUUGAACAUGAAGAGAGAAGAAGAGAAGACAGAGGAAAAUGUGAGAGAAAAGGGUAUGGAAAUCAGAGCUCGAAACCAUUUCCAUGGAAAUGGUGGGUACAGAGCAAGUGGGGUUUCUUCUGUAGAUGGAAAAUUUGGAAUGGAAUGGAAGGGAGAUGAGAAUGAAUAAUGAGAGGGAAAAGAAAAUAGAUGCUGAACUGUUCAAACAGUCAACAGCCCAUCGACAACAGGUUAGUUCCAUUGAAGAAAACAGAUGGAGGAGAAGACGAUAAAGGAUCACAAAUACAGUGAUAAUGACAAAGAAAUUAAGUCGACUCGGAAGUUGCUUACUGUCGAGAAAAAAUAGUUCAAAACUGUAUCUGAAAAUAGUGCAAUGAUAGCAAUUCGAAAAUGCUCUUCACAUAAAAAUUUCUGCUUGAAGAACCUAAAUCUAAGUCGGGAAAAGAUAACAUAAAAAAGAUGGGAAAAAAUGGGAUUUGAACCAUGCACUACUUUUCCUCACGAUCGAUGGUGCCACUUUCUGAUUUUACCAAUCCUUGAAGCGAAUAUCUUUUUCACUUCUAUGGAAUCUAUAUUAUAUAUUCUUUUAUCUUCCAAAAUCAAUGGACAAUAAAAGAAAUAAUCUAUCUAUUUUAAGAAGCCUAAGUUUUCAUAAAUUUUUCAACAUCUCACAAAACGAUGAUAAAUAGAAUACAAUUCAAUAAUAUUUUACAUUAACCAUCACAACAGUUUUGACCAAAAAUUUUAACAAAAUUUCUAUUACCCUAUUAUGUAUGUUUGGUCGAGGUUGAACGGAGGUUUUGUUAGAUUAUUUUAGUUUGAAAAAUAAAUAAUAAUAGUCAAAUAGUAAAAAUGGAGUGAAGAAAGAAUUUUAAAAUAAUAUUUACUAUAACUUAUUUAAAAAUUUUAAAUAGUAUUUUAUUUACCUAAUGAUAUUAAUUAUAGUUUUACUUAAUUCAUGCGAUAAACAACCUCUCAAUUUUUAUAGAUAAUGAUUUUUCUUUAUUAGACAUACACUCACUUAUUUAAAUUAAAAAUUAUGAUAAAUAAAAUGUCUCAUUAAAAAACUAGUAUUGUAAAAACAGUAAUUGUAAUGGAUAACUAUUUGAUAAAUAAUAAUUAAGAAUAUAAUAACAUUUAAAAAAAAUGCAAAUUUAGCAAAAUUAUCGCUGAUAGACUUGUAUUACUGAUAGACUCUAUCAGUGAUAGUACAAGAUUUACAACAUGCUCUAUCGGUGAUAGACUUAUAUCAUUCAUAGAAUUUGACAAAUUUUGCUAUAUUUGCAAAUUUUUUAAAAUGUUGUUAUAUACUUAAUUAUUUUGAAUCUAAUUGUUAAAUUUGCAAUUAUCUCUUGUAAAAAAAUACACAAGUACAUGUAAAUUACUAGAAAUAGAUAUUUAUUAGUAAAAAAUGUUGUUGAUGAUGGGUCGAGCUUUGCACAUGGCCUCCAAUGGCACCAUCUUGGUCAUUAUGGCACCAGACAACUCCUUCAUGUCAAUGUCUUCUUCUCCAAUUUUCUUCCACUCAAAACAUUGAAUCAGAGUUGCUAAAGUAAGACCCAUCACUCUAUGUGCCAUGGCAGAACCAGGACAUGCACGCCUUCCUAAUCCAAAAGGCAAAAACUUGUGUAUCUCUACAGCUUCUGAUUUUUCGUAUCGCUCUGGUUUAAAACUCAUGCAAUCCUCCCACUCGUUUGAAUCUCUAUGUAUGGCCCAAGCAUUGACUAGUACCAUUGUGUCUCGUGGCACAUCAUACCCACAUAUUUUGCAGUCAUUGGUUGCAUAAUGGGGAACCAACAUGGGUGCCGCAGGAUUCAACCUAAGAGUCUCAGAGACGAUUCUUUGAAGAUAAGGUAGUUUAGAAAUGUCUGAUUCCUCCACGAGUCUUUCUUGUCCAAUUUGAGUGUCUAUCUCCUCUUUUGCCUUUUUUAACACUUGAGGAUUGUUUAGGAGAUGACUCAAGGCCCAUUCCAUUGUCACCGCGGAUGUG